GUGGGGAAUAUUGGACAAUGGGGGCAACCCUGAUCCAGCCAUGCCGCGUGAGUGAAGAAGGGUUUCGGCUCGUAAAGCUCUGUUGUCGGGGACGAAUGUGCAGUAUUUGAAUAAAGUACUGCAAUGACGGUACCUGACGAGGAAGCCACGGCUAACUACGUGCCAGCAGCCGCGGUAAUACGUAGGUGGCAAGCGUUGUCCGGAAUUAUUGGGCGUAAAGGGAGCGCAGGCGGGAAGGUAAGUCGGUCUUAAAAGUGCGGGGCUCAACCCCGUGAUGGGAUCGAAACUAUCUUUCUUGAGUGCAGGAGAGGAAAGUGGAAUUCCUAGUGUAGCGGUGAAAUGCGUAGAUAUUAGGAGGAACACCAGUGGCGAAGGCGACUUUCUGGACUGUAACUGACGCUGAGGCUCGAAAGCCAGGGGAGCGAACGGGAUUAGAAACCCCGGUAGUCC
rnacentral:rRNA from 1 species